rnacentral:tRNA from 1 species
UUAAUUGAAGCCAAAACAGAGGCCUUUCAUUGUUAAUGAAUUAACUGAUUAGAUUUUAAUCCAAUUAAG